CUUCUGAUCAGCAAGCCCUAGGCUUUGUGGUUUUAACCCACAGUGCCAUCCGCGUCCCUAACUUUCAGGUAAGAUCAUGUUAUUUAUUGUAUUUGAACACAGAUGUGAUGAGAUGUAACCAUGACUGCAUUUUUUUUAUUGACAAAAAGGACUGCUUUAACUGUCUUUAUCACCAACUCAUGCUGUUGGCAUACCCAGUUUCCAUCUAAUGCUAAUAGGUGUUCUCUAUUACAAGCUUUGUUCCUUUAUAUAAAAAGAGUCUUAAAAUAGCCUGUCAUAACUCCCACUGUAUGCUGGCAAACACAACCUUUUGGCAGUCUCUCUAAGCUGACUGAUGGCAAAAAGGGGGGUGGGGUGGAAUCCCAUAAGUCAUCUGUUUGUCCAUAUUCUGUCAAAAACAAUCAUUUUCUCAUCCGUAAAAUCUGGAACUCCUCCAAGUAGAUCUCUCUAAUCACACAUUACGAUCCCAACCAGUCAAUGAUGUGGCAGAAAUAAAUUUGCAUAGUGUUCUAUAAAUGACUAAUUUAGAACUAAUUGGAACAAGUUUAGAUAAGCUUAUAGGUGAACCACAGGGCACAUAAACCUUAACAGUGAAAAGUCUGUCGCUGUUUCCUCAAAAGUAAGCCCCACUGUGUUCAAUAGACAUUUUUUUCCCAGGGAUUUUGCAGAGGAUGUGAACCCAAAUAUUUUCUCAUAAGAGACCUGCAGGUUCUGGUACAUAAAAAAAAGAUAACAGACAUUCAAGCUGCUAUUUUGUGCAUAUGUACCUGAGAGUAAAGCAGUAAACAUACAUACAUUGGAUUGAGUCGCAAGUAUGCAUGGGUGUCUGCAGGAAUAAUUCAGGGUGUGGCAAGGACUGACUUGUAACUACAGGUUGUUAACUAUCUGCAGUCUUUAUAGGACUGAACUCAAUGAGCUAAAGAGGAACAAUACAAUGACAGGCAUGGGUGUAGCUAAGGAGAGGCAGGGAGGCAGCUGCCCCCCCCAAUCCUCAAAAAGUAUUGAAAAGCAUUAAAAAUACUUAAUUAACUGAGGUUAUGCCCCUAUAAGAAGCUCAACAUCUUUUGGGGGCAAUCUCCCCAAAAAAGCUCAAGAACAUUUUGCCCCCCUUCUCCCCCCCCAAAUCCUGCCUACACCCAUGAUGACAGGCUGUGGCUGUUGGUGAUUUUCUGCAUUGUAUGGGAUUAUGCAUUUCAGAAUUAACGUCUAACAAAUUACUUUGUUUGUUUAACAACAAUACUGCAGGACUCUAAACCAAAUUUAAAACCCAAGGCUAAGUUUCACACAUCUUACACAGAAUUUGCCCUGGCUGUGAUAUAAGCUCUGAAACCAGUCAGACUUCUUUUGUUCACACUUGUCUGUCCAUGACAUCAAGGAAACUAUAAUACAAAGAGGAAUAUUUUUUUUAAGGAAAUUCGUGCCUUCAAAAGUAUUAGCCAAAAUGGUCAUUAGUUUCUUCUACAAAUUUGGGAUAAGUCCUCAGCUUUUCUCUACGGACACAUAAGUCACACAAGCCAGACAAUUGAUCUUCACUCAUUGAUGAACAUCGCCAUAUAUUCACCCUGAGCAAAGUGCUAAAGAAUCAUUCAAUUAUGCAUGUUAUAAUUGGAAAAGUGCUGUCAUUUUAAUAGCACGCCUCUUUGUGUGGCGAGGCCCCAGGGCCCAAAGUUCCCCUUAGAUAAUAAACACACGGACACAAAUAUUUUGAGUUAAUAGGAUAAAUAAGGCCACAACUUUAUUGGUUACAGAUGUGAGUGGUUUGGCUUAGGCAUUGGGUGAAACCGACUAUAUCAUGACUCCUGCACACCAGCAGGAAGUCUCUUAAGGGUCAACCACCGAUAGGGGGUGCCCUAUGAUAUACAGGAAUUAAGAGAACUCCCAGGGUCCCCACUGGGGUUGUGGCAUGGCCCUAUCCCACGCCCAGGCUUCAAACAGGAUCCACACCCCGGAUCCCUUUAACGGAAUACUCUUUAUGAGGAGGGGCAGGCGGAGGCAACAACCUCCCCUUCUCACGAACCAGGCUUACCCAGUCCCGGAUGCCCGCCCACAACUCCACCCCCCGGGGAAAGGGAGUGGUCUUCCCAAAGCCUGUCAUAAGCUGGCACUGCGAGGGCUGGGGGGAAGGCAUUUAAUGGCCUCGCACAGGGCAGCAUAUUACCAAAGGUGGCCCCUGCACAUGCCAACAGCUUCUAGGGGCCACAGGUGAGAGCCCCUAGGGGCCACAGGUGAGAGCCCACAGGUGAGAGCCCCCACAGGGUGGGGACCAAAGGUGGGCAAACUACAUGUUGACUAUUAGAUGCCAUCUUUGGAUGCUGUCACAGAAACUUUUUAAUGAUGGUUUAAUUGUGCCAACUCUAUUAUGCACAUUUACCCCUUUCAGACCAUUUACAGUGAGAUAAAGUUUAUGGGAUGAGCAGUGGGCAAAGGUUGCCUAAGGAUAGGUUGUCCUGAUUUGUGCUUGAAUCCCACCUUCUCUUCCUGCCCUAUAGUUGCACAACCAUUGCAUCCUUGUCCAACCAGCUUAGAGAUCUAGUCCAAAAUCAGAACAAGCAGAUGAAAUUUGGCCGGCUAUGCCUACUGUAGCUUGGUCUGAGAUUGAAACCAACCCCAAAAUUCCUCCUGUACAUUCCCAUCACUUUCUUCCAUAAAUCUUACACCUAGAGACAGUUGUUCCAUGCCAGAAAUACCUCCUAUUUCAUCUGCUAAAACUGAGGAUCUUAUGUAAGCGUUAGUCUUCACAACAACAUCUUCCCUCAGAAACCAGCCACACUGUGCUAUUACCUCAUUCUGCAUACUUUUAGGUGUGUACUUAGCAUUCCCUGCCCCAGUUUCCGUUUUUUUAAAAUUAAAAAGUUAUUCCAUCUCCUUCUUCAGCACAAAACUGUAAAAGGUUCUAUCAUGUUACCAUGAAGGGCAAGAUCACCUGACCCACAACAAUAGUUGAUAGUACUGAGCACAGCUUCUGUUUAUUUUCCUCUAUAGCUCAUAUUUGCUUAUUUUCCUCUAUAGCUCAUGAGAGCCAGUGUGGUGUAGUGGUUAAGAGCGGUAGUCUCGUAAUCUGGGGAACCGGGUUCACAUCUCUGCUCCUCCACAUGCAGCUGCUGGGUGACCUUGGGCCAGUCACGCUUCUUUGAAGUCUCUCAGCCCCACUCACCUCACAGAGUGUUUGUUGUGGGGGAGGAAGGGAAAGGAGAAUGUUAGCCGCUUUGAGACUCCUGAAGGGGAGUGAAAGGCGGGAUAUCAAAUCCAAACUCUUCUUCUUCUUCUUCUUGCUUGUGACUUACUAAGUUGUUGUCCAGUUGACACCUUUUUCCUGUUCAUGACAGAAAGGAAGGUAGAAGAAGAAGAAGAAGAGUUUGGAUUUGAUGUGAACCAGUCCAUUUUGUGAGUGCUCUCUUGCAGCUUCACUGAAGGCUUUUUGCUCGGUGCAAAUGUGGGUAAUAAAUAUGCUAUAUUCCCCUCGUACUACUGGCUGGGAAAAUAAAAUGCAAUAACAAUAUAAAGCUCCUUUCGUAACAGCGAAGUGAGCUAAUUAAGCAGAACAUUUAGAAAGUCAAGCAUGGGGAAAUAUUCUUGGACCCAGACUAUCAUGCCUGGUCAUCACUUUCUGCAGGGGUCCAGCAUUGUGAAAGCAGGUCAAAUGUUAACACAUAUGACAGAGGAUUAGCUUUUUAUAUUUAGUUCCUUAUAUCCAGUUUUUCCUGUCAUUCAAGACGCACAGUACUGGUAGCUGCCUCCACCUUUAUUAGAUUGCAUUGUGCUGUAUUUAUGGAACAAAAUUGGCUGGUUCGGGUGUGUUUUAUUCAGAACUAAUUCCUUUGAAAUGAAUAAGGUUCUUUUUAUAAUGUGAAAAAAAUGGUAAUAUUACUCUUCCCCUCAUUUUCCAUGCCCUUCAAACAGCCACUACUGGUUUCCUUGUCAUCACUGGGCUGUUGUUAUUAAUAUACAGUAUCCAUAAAACAAAAAUUUAAAGUGCAAAAUGAAUUGGCAAAUAAAGCCAUAACACCAUCCAAGUUAAGAUCCGUACAGAAACAGCAGUUCUUUCCCAUAGAUUGCUAGUGUGUGCACAGGGCCCCAAUCCACACACAGUUUACCAGACCCAAGAAAUUCUGUUGGCAACACUGCCUGUGGCCUUCAAAAUGUUGCAGGACCAAAGCUCACUUCAGGAUCAUGGAAGAAAACUUAUUCUUGGCUCACAAAUUUGCCUCUAAUGUAAAACAUUUUGUGUCUACAAAGUUCUUUCAAAUUUACUUUUUUGGAACCUAGGAGCGGCUAGGACAUCAUUAAAAAUGUCAUCCCUGUGUGUUUUUAUUUCUCAAAACAGGCAAUUGCUUACUAUUAUUACUGGACGUAUUGCGGAUCUCAUUCAUUGUCUGGCAAAGACACAGGCGAGGGGCCGAAAGGCAGGAUAUAAAUAUUUUACUAAUAGAUGGAUAGAUAGUACAGUGGAGUAACUAUCUUGGUCUCAAAACAAUCUGAGACACCACAAAUUGCACUCGGAAUGGAGCCACCUUAUUUAUGAUUUUGCUAAGCAAUAUAUGUUUAUGCUGCGGGCAGCAUAACACAGGCAUGCCCAUAAUAUAAAUCUAAGUCAGUUCCAGGCUGCUUAACUGUUAUGGCUUUCAACCAAAGAAUCCUUGUGGCUCAAAUUCUACAAAAGGGCCAGGGAACUUUAAACACUGACGUAUCAGCCAUCUAAGAUGAUAGUUUGCUCUAGGGGUGUGCAGCAACUUCCAACAAAUCCCAAAUCCUGAGAUAAAGUGGGAUUCUGGGCUUCUCCAAGGUGAAGCAGGAUCUGGGCAUGGCACCUUAGGUCAAAGCGGUGCACCUCUAAAGCACCUCUGGGUGCUUCAGUGACUUGGACACCAAAGCAGCUACAGGCAAGUGUCUACAAAGAACAGUACUGAUAUGUCUGACCUUACUGUGUAAGGAAUUUUAUGGGGAAGGUGGGGCAAAUGCCAGGACAAGAGAGGGAGGAGGGAGAACUACAUUGUGACUGACAGGUCAAGCUUGUAUGGAGACUCCACUGAUUUGGGGGAGCAAAGUGAAUUCUUGUUUCUCCUCUUCCAAAUCGAAUUUAAAAAUGCCUAGCACGAAACCUACUGGAUCAAUUGGUCAGCAAUUUGGCAGAUUUUUUUUACUUAGGGACAUCUCUUCCAUAUCUGCUACUUUCAGACCAAAGGCCCAAAAAUCUCUAGAAAAGUUUAUAUGGUUCCUUUUUUACCCCAUGUACUCAACACUGGAAGGAAACUGCUGCUCUGGCAGAAUUCGUCACCGCAGGAAGGGGCUACCAUGCCUGCAAAUUUUAAUCAGUUUUGCCUAAAAGAUAACAUUAUAGGCAUUUCCUAUUUUAAAAAGAAAUUAAAAUUUAAAGGCAACCAGCACAUCACCUGCUGAACAUAUUUGUCUGGAAUUUGGCAAGCUUAAUGCACUUUGGAGAGGCCUGCAAAUUAUAUCUGCCUCUGCCAAAGGGGGGGGGGGCUUUAAAAAUGCCCAUAAUGAAGGGAAGAAAUGAAACCCCUUUUCCAGUGCUAGUUCUUGCUGCAUAAGGAUGAGCGUGUAGACUUCUCAGUUGGACAAGUUAUUAGAAGCAUAAAAAUUGCAGAAGUCUAUGCAUGUAGUUAACAGAUUGCUGUAUCAGGCCUAAGGGGAUUUGUGGUCUGAUGGCUAUUUAAAUAGUUCGCACCCCAUUUAAAUUCCAGCAUCUGCUUCCUAAUGCAAGUCAUUCACACACAGUAGGGGUUUCAACUGAUUGAUUGAUCGAUUUUGCUUUGUGGUCAUGUUUGUCUUUGCCAAGAAACCUAUGUCCUUCCUCAUUCCUUAGAAUCCGAGAUGCACAGUCAACUAUCUAACAAAUAUAGACAUUGACAGGAAGUAGUUCUUUUAUGCUGAAAUAUGCAAUCCACAUUAUCUCUUCUUCUCAGCCAGAAAGCCACACAGACUUUUCAGUAUAUGCAGCUGGAGUCAGUAUACAGUGGUACCUCGGGUUACAUACGCUUCAGGUUACAUAUGCUUCAGGUUACAGACUCCGCUAACCCGGAAAUAGUGCUUCAGGUUAAGAACUUUGCUUCAGGAUGAGAACAGAAAUCAUGCUCCGGCGGCGUGGCGGCAGCAGGAGGCCCCAUUAGCUAAAGUGGUGCUUCAGGUUAAGAACAGUUUCAGGUUAAGUACGGACCUCCGGAACAAAUUAAGCACUUAACCCGAGGUACCACUGUACAUGGGAUAAAAUAAAGCAAAGGUGGGUUUUUUUGGGGGGGAGUUUGGUUUGUGAAUAAUUUUCAACUUCAUUCUUUUGCUAGCUGUGCUGUUUUAUAAUCAACCUCCCUUAACUUUUCCAAACAUUAAUCUGCAAGCCAUUCUUGUUGUAAAGAGUGCCAAUUUGUCUGGAUGGAUCUGACCACCUCCUUUCAUCUGACCAUUAGUGAAGAUCCAUGAGGCAUCCUAUUUCAGAUAUAGAAUCGUUAUUUAUUACUACUAUUACUACCAUUUAUUCCCCGCCCUUUCCCCUAAGGUCCCAGGUUAUUACAAUCAAAACACAAUGUUGAUAUUAAAACAAAGAUUACACAAGAUUUUAAAGCAGCUUAAAACAACUACAGAGACUUCUUCAGCUUUGCCCUAUUGUUUUCAGUUGUUGAUACCCAAUGCUGAUAGUAAUUGGAGCUAUGCUUUAUAAAUGGGAUUAAUGUCAUCUUUUGUUUGAGUCUCAUUCACAGGAUGACUUUUCAGAUUUUGCCCAGUUCUCUGGCCACUGCAGAGAUCGUUUUAUCCUAGAUUUGUGAAAUAAAACUGACAUCUCUAGUGAAAGAUGGGGUUUUGGUGCAAUUGUUUCAUUCAUGCAUUGAUAAUAAUGAUAAAAUCCUGCACCACUAAACAGACAUACAGCAAGUCGCACAUUCCAGAGGGUGUGCGUUAGAGCAGCAUAUAAAAUAAAAUACACUGUACACAUCAUUUUAAAAGCUUUUGAUUAUUCUGCUAAUGCACAUCAACAAAUUCUGAAAUGGCACACUUCUCGUAUUCCCCCUCAUCCUGCAUGAUAUCAGCUGCCACCCAACAUUCUAAGUGGGAGUCUGAGUUAAUCUGUGGACACAAACCCCAUUUUUUCAUGUUUCAGUAAAAAUAAUACUGAGCACGGGUAGUUCCUCUUCUUGUUAUAAGAAGCAUAUACAGUGGUGCCUCGCAAGACGAAAUUAAUUCGUUCCGCAAGUUUUUUCUUCUUGCGAGUUUUUCGUCUUGCGAUGCACGGUUUCCCAUAGGAAUGCAUUGAAAAUCAAUUAAUGCGUUCCUAGGGAAACCGACUUCAGACCAGGUCCGGGGACAGUCUGUCCCCCGACCUCUUCUGAAGGCUGGGGGGGGGGACAAGGGCUUUUCUUCCCACCCACCCCAGCAUUUAAAAACCCGGGACAGCGGAGGGCUUCUCCGCUGUCCGGGCGAUCUUAAAAUGCUGGCGGGCGGCAUUUUAAAAUUGCCCCGGGACAGCGGAGGACUUCUCCGCUGUCCGGGGCAAUUUAAAGCCCCUGGGAAGGCAGGCAGGGGGACAAAGACUUUUGCCCCCGCCAGCCUUCAGAAGAGGUCCUGGACCUCUUCUGAAGGUUGGCGGGGGCGAAAGUCUUUGUCCCCCCACCUGCCUUCAAAAGCUGUCCAGCCAAGGCUCGCGGACCUCUCCGCAAGCAGCGGCAGCACUGCCGCUGCUUGCGGAGAGUUGCCGGCAUGCCGAAGCCUGCGCGCGCUGAGAUCAGCACGCCCAGGCUUCGCGGACCUCUCCUGCCUUCAAAAGCAGUCCGGGAUAGCAGGGAAGCGCUUCCCGCUAUCCCGGACGGCUUUUAAAAUGCUGGCGGUGGGGGGCAAAUCCAUUCGGCCCCCCCCCGCCAUACGGGACCGCCUCAGAAGGCCGGAGGGGGGGGGAGGCUUUGCUCCCCACCGCAAGCCAUUAAAAGAGGUCCCGGAGAUUUCCCUAUGGGCUUUCGUCUUGCGAAGCAAGCCCAUAGGGAAAUUCGUUUUGCGAAGCGCCUCCAAAACGGAAAACCCUUUCGUCUAGCGGGUUUUCCGUCUUGCGAGGCGUUCGUCUUGCGGGGCACCACUGUAUGGAGUCCUAAAAACAUCUAAGAUUAAUUGCUGAUGUUCCCACAGACAUGGCUCCAGAAGCCAUCUUUGACAGUAGUGUAAAUCUAAAAUUAUCAAUUCCACUGAGUUCCAUGAAGCUGCUCUGGAUUUACUGCACCACAACCAAGGUCUGACUCUUCUCCAAGAUGUAUUGCUUUCAGCUAAAUGUGCAGCACACUCUUGUUUAAAUAUUUUCUGAAACAGUAUACUUAGCUUCAGAGGAAUAAUUACAGCAUGGCUGUAAUUUAUGUGUAAAGGCAAACAGAAGCAUCGAUGGCCAACGCUGCCUUCCCAGCGUGCACAUAUUCCGCAAAGCUGUUCUAUAAAAUGCUCCUUCGACAAAGCUGAAGAUUUUCCCAUCAAGUGGGAAAAUGAAUAGAUGCUCUGUAAUAACAAGGAAUGGGCCUGGAUGCGAUUCAGAUGUUCAUUCCCGCUUCUCCCCCCUCUGACAAAACUGCAUCAACAUACACUGUUGCAGCUGUGCAAAAUGAUUUAUAUAGUCAUCAGGCUUUAAAGUAUUAAUGCUGGAACUCCUGUCCAGUGGGAUCCUCUUGACUGAUUUACAAUUAAUAUAGUUCAUUUCUGCUGAAACUUGUACACCCCCUCCACCUCUUAACUAUGGUCCACAUUGGGGCUGUAUAAGCAAGAGCAAUGAGCAAUGAACCCAUCGCUGAACGCAACAGUGAAAUUGGGUGGGGAAUGGGAAGUGGGUUCACUCUGUACACACUAAUUCAAUUACAAGAUUUUAUAACUUUCCUGACGAACUGAAGGUCGGAAGUAGCCUCAAGGGCGGAAUGAAGACAAAAUCUUAUAGAUCAGCACUGGGAGGUUUAUAAAACUAGCUUCGGUCCAUGCAGCUGAGUAGGAGGAAGACUACAGGAAUGCUGAAGAGCAGCAGUUAGGGCUCCAGAGGUAGACUUGAGGGGCUAGCUGUGCAUUACAUGCAAACUCGGGUAACAAAACCCUCCCAGCCACUUAUUCUUUAAGCCCCCAUAUCAUCUAAGGCAAGUUUCCUCAAACUCGGCCCUCCAGAUGUUUUUGGCCUACAACUCCCAUGAUCCCUAGCUAUAGCAGGACCAGUGGUCAGGGAUGAUGAGAAUUGUAGUCUCAAAACAUCUGGAUGGCUGAGGUUGAGGAAACCUGGUCUAAGGGAACAUGUUCAGCCUUCUACUGAGUUAGUUUCAGCUACCCAGAAUCAAAGAGGAAAGUCAAACAUCCACACAACACUUCAAAACAUGGGAUGGGGCUCAGUGAGUUUGCAAGGGAAGGAAAUUCCAUCACUGCAUCCACAUCUUACAUGCCCCACAGUUGCCAGGGAGGCAGAAAGCAAUAUGUCAUAGAAGGCCUGGGGUGGUGGGCAUGUGUGUGGCAUUUGCAGCCCACAGGCCACAUUCCUCCAUGGGCAACAUUCCAGGGGUUGCAUGCCAGUGGUGGGCAGAGCAAUGCAUUUAACCAUUGCAGAAGAUUGCAUUCCAGCCGUGAGAAAGUUAGAGGUUGCUACACACCCACUCACAGAUCCCUCCCUCCUCAAACAAGCAUCUGGGGCUUUUUAGUUUAGAGAAAACAGAGGUGAGAAGUGACAUGUUAGAAGUGAUAGCGCAUAGCACAGAGAAAGUGCAUGGAGUAAAGUUGGCCUUUUAAGGAAAGCUGCUUCAAUCCACGCAACCUGAACCUGCAAUCUGCAAACCCUCCUCUGAAAUUCACACAUCUCUGAAUUUUGCGACGUCGUUCUCCAACCCCAAAAUGCACACAAGUGAAAAUACCAUACCGGAACGAAGAAUAGAAUUGUAGAGUUGGAAGGGAUCCCAAGGGUAAUCUAGCCCAAUCCCUAUGCAUUCUCUUAGGGAAAAAUUGCUUGCAAAAAACCCACAAAAAAACCACCUUGCGCUAGGCAAAACUGUAUACAGUGGUGCCUCGCAAGACAAAAUUAAUCCGUUCCGCGAGUCUCUUCGUCUUGCGGUUAUUUCGUCUUGCGAAGCACGGCUAUUAGCGGCUUAGCGGCUAUUAACGGCUUAGCGGCUAUUAGCGGCUUAGCGGCUUUAAGAAAAAGGAAACAAACUCGCAAGAACUCACAAGACGUUUCGUCUUGCGAAGCAAGCCCAUAGGGAAAUUCGUCUUGCGGAAAGACUCAAAAAACGGAAAACUCUUUCGUCUUGCGAGGCAUUCGUCUUGCGAGGCAUUCGUCUUGCGGGGCACCACUGUACAAAAGUAUGUUUUUUUUAAAAAGGAGAAAUGUGCAUGGAAUUGCAUAAAGAUUUUCAUGUUCCUCACCCUUUUAAAAUUGCACUGAGAUGAUUUACACCAAAAAAACCAAAAAAAAACCUGAGGUGAGGGAAACCGAAAUCAUCAGAUUUCCCCUAUCCUAGUGGAACCAGGGCUGGAACUUGAUGCCAUCCUUGAAGGCAGGAAGCCAAGUGGCAUCUCAAACCCUGAACCAAAGGGACCUAAACCUCAUAGACCCAGCAAUCUUUUACUAUUCCACUGGGAUAAAGUGUAAAAAGUCUGUUAAUCUUAUUUAAAAAUAGCACAGUGCAACCAAGUAUUGAAUGCCAGAGAUUGCUAUUCUGACUUCAGCAAAAACCAGUGUAAAUCCAGAAUAGCCUUAAUGAAGCCAGUGAAGCUGAGAUCACCAUUUGGCUGAAAGUCAACAGUCUGAUAGCAUGCCAGAUUCAUUACUGCACUCUUUCCCUACGCGCCUGUGUGUUAAGAAAAGAACAUGAUUUUUUUUCUUUUAAAGAGAGUGUAAAUUUCAAGCAGUCUAAAAGUACAUUCUGUGAUUUUGAAAACAAACAAACAAACCCCUUUGACGUAAAGAAGCACCACGGAUUCGACAAUAUUUUGAUUGGGUAUAUGUGUUUAAAAGUGCCUGUGUAUACACACACACACACACACACACACACACCCUCAACAACUGAGCAAAUAUAUUUGCUUCAUGGGGGUGCAGUUUGGAAUUUUCUCAAUGGCCCAUUCAAAGCCUGUCAAGGAUACCAGCAGUGAAAGCACACUGUAAUGACACUUUUGCAAUGUGUGUGUGGCCCUGUGGCCUCUUUACCAGAUGGGUGGGGGAUAGUAUAUACGAGACAUGGUUUAGCUUGGGGAAAGUAACUGACACCAAUUGUUGAAGACCUUGUAGAUCAGCAAGCUGCCUCGAAAACUGUGAAUAUUUGCAUGAUCUUCUUCUCCAACAUUUCACCAACGAAAAUAGGGAAGGGAGGGAGGGAGGGAGGAGGAGGAGGAGGAGGAGGAGGAGGAGGAGGAGGAGGAGGAGAAGAAGAAGAAGAAGAAGAAGAAGACGACUAUUUUCACCUCACGCCUGACGGGGUUGCCGCAGCCACUCUGGGUGGCUUCCAACAUUAAUAACAUGGUUCAGGGGUCAGAUAACUCCAUAACCUCCAAAAAAUUUACGAUGAAAGUAGGAACAUCCUACCAUACCCUCCAACAUUUCUCUGGUGUAAACAGGGACAUUCUCUAAGGAAAAACAGGACAUUCCGGGAUCAAAUCAGAAACUGGAACGGCUUCUGUAAAUCCAGGACUGUUCCUGGAAAAUAGAGGCACCUGAAGGAUCUGUUUCAGAAGUGCCCACUUCCAGUCACAAACUUACAAUGAACUGCUUGGCUAUAAUAAUGCCUCCCACAGCCAUCUUGACGUGUAUGGCUAGAAUGGUCUUGAGUGCCAUUUGUUGUUUGAGAUUCACGCUGAUGUAACAAAAAAUCGUACGUCCUUGGUUGUCUAGCUGCCCACUUUUGAAGUCUUGAGUCAUUUAUACCAAGAACCUGUAGCCCAAGAAACCUCCCUAUCAGGGGACAACUUACAAUUCCAGGAAAUAAAAUGUGAGCUCUGGCUACCAGAGCAGCUUUAAAAUGUAAAUGAGCAUUGAGCCUUCAUAAAGUCUAUUUAUGCUCCUCUGUUUUAGCACAGUACAUGCUUAUAGGAUUUAUUGGGCACUUAGCAGCAUGAAAGAGAAGCGUUGGCUUGUUAUUUCUGCCAGUCCUUAUGGCUAUCUGUGACUCAGUGGCCUCGUGGAAAACACAAAUAUUUUCCAGAAAACAAAUAACUGGUUCAAGCUGCAGUUCUCUGAGGGGGAGCGAGCCAGCACAACAGUCUUCAUUUAUAAAGAGAAUGUACUUUUUAAAAGAAAAAGGGGAGAGUAUUCAAAAUCCAUGACUACCCAGUGGCAGAAACGUAAUCAGCGCCUCCAACCUACACAACUGAAGUAACGGGAUGAUGCUUUUGGCUUCUUCACCAGGUAGGAACAUUUCUCUGCAAGACUGAAAAGGCAGAAUGCAGUGUCAUCAUUCUGUGCCUCUAGGGACUGGAGUAAGCCAGUGACUAUGGUGAGAAAGUUUCGUGUUCUGGACCUGGAAUGCUGUGAAUUUGCAAAUGAAAUCCAGCUCUUUGACUUUACUGAAUAUUUUUAUUUACUGUAUCUAAGAAGCAUUUGGCUCUGUAUGUGGUUCCUUCUCCCAUCUUAUCCUCACAAGCAGUUGAAAGCUGUUGACUGACCCCAGGUCACCCACUCAGCUUCCUAGCUAAGCGGGGAUUUGAACUCAAGACUUGCCAGUCCUUGCCCAGCACUCUAACUACGACUCCGUACCUACUAUGCACAUGUGAUUGUGGGCUGUGACAGGACCUCUUUCCCCUACCAUGAGGCAAACCAUGCUUUACCAGAAGCUCUAAGAAGUACAGUGGAACCUUGGUUCUUGAACGGCUUGGCUCCUGAACAAAUAGGCUCCCGAGCACAGCAAACCCGGAAGUGAGCGUUCUGGUUUGCGAACAUUUUUUGGAAGCCGAACAUCUGAUGUGGCUUCUGCUUGAGUGCAGCAAGCUCCUGCAGCCAAUCGGAAGCUGCACCUUGGUUUCGGGAGUCAAACGGACCCCCGGAACAGAUUACCGUAAGUUCAACAACCAAGGUACCACUGUAGUGUCC